rnacentral:rRNA from 1 species
UACAGAGGGGGCAAGCGUUGUUCGGAAUUACUGGGCGUAAAGGGCGCGUAGGCGGCCUGCUAAGUCGAACGUGAAAUCCCUGGGCCCAACCCAGGAACUGCGUCCGAUACUGGUUGGCUUGAAUCCGGGAGAGGGAUGUGGAAUUCCAGGUGUAGCGGUGAAAUGCGUAGAUAUCUGGAGGAACACCGGUGGCGAAGGCGACAUCCUGGACCGGUAUUGACGCUGAGGCGCGAAAGCCAGGGGAGCAAACGGG